GUUUGCUAGGCCCCAGCAUAGCCUUAUAAGAGACAGCUAUAUCUGGGUCCUUUCAGCAAAAUCUUGCUAGUGUAUGCAAUGGUGUCAGCGUUUGGAAGCUGAUUAUGGAAUGGAUCCCUGGAGAGUUUCAUUUCUUUGGGUAAGAUAGAGGUAGUGUGUGAGUGUGUGUGUAGUGUGAUGAUCCCCCUGUGUGUGUGUGUAUGUGUGUGUAGUAUGAUGAUCCCCCUAUGUGUGUGUAGUGUGAUGAUCCCCCUGUGUGUGUAUUGUGAUGAUUCCCCUGUGUGUGUGUGUAUGUGUGUGUAGUAUGAUGAUCCCCCUGUGUGUGUAUGUGUGUGUAUGUGUGUGUAUGUGUAGUGUGAUGAUCCCUCUGUGUGUGAGUGUGUGUGUGUAGUGUGAUGAUCCUCCUGUGUGUGUGUGGUGUGAUGAUCCCCCUGUGUGUGUGUGUGUGUGUGUAGUCUGAUGAUCCUCCUAAUCAAGCUUGCUCAAACUGAGCUCACCAUGUAGCAGAGGGUGACCUUGAACUCUUGAGCUCUCUGCCUUCUCCCCAGCUGCUGAGAUUGCAGCCUGUGCUACCAUGGCCUUCAGCUUUCGUUUCCCUUUUCAGACGUUUUCUUGCACUUAAUAAAAAAAUCAUUCUCCAGGUGUGAUGGCGCAUACCUUUAAUCCCA
rnacentral:lncRNA from 1 species